rnacentral:lncRNA from 1 species
AUUUGAUACCAUACCCCGCAUUAAUGCGGACGUGAUUCACAAUAGUACGGUUUUCAAAUGACAGCACAUUACAAAAUUACAGUGCUGCCAUAUCAUUUCUGUAAGAGACGGCAACACUUAACCUAUUUUGUACUGUACUAUUGUUUUACAAGUUGAGAAGGUGAACAUUUUCCCCAAAUCAAAAUUUCGUACAUAGUGUAGAAUAUUACAUACUGUACUGAUAUAGAAAAUUAUGAAUGAGAAAAGAAAAUCUACUUCAGCAGAUGAAUCAAGUAAAAGAAGAUGCAAUUGGUUAAGUUUGGAGGACAAACUAAACAUAAUUAAGCUUUACAAGGAUGGUUCAACAUUUGCUAAAAUUGUCCAAGACAAAGGAAUGAAUGAAUCGUUGAUAAGAAGAAUAAUUAAUGAAAAAUAUAAAUAUAAAGAACAAGGCAACAACAUCUAUAUAUUCUAAAAAAAUAACUAAAAGCCUGAAGCACUGUAAUGAUA